GGGCGCAAGCCUGAUGCAGCCAUGCCGCGUGUGUGAAGAAGGCCUUCGGGUUGUAAAGCACUUUCAGUCGUGAGGAAGGUGGUGGUGUUAAUAGCAGUAUCAUUUGACGUUAGCGACAGAAGAAGCACCGGCUAACUCCGUGCCAGCAGCCGCGGUAAUACGGAGGGUGCGAGCGUUAAUCGGAAUUACUGGGCGUAAAGCGCAUGCAGGUGGUUUGUUAAGUCAGAUGUGAAAGCCCGGGGCUCAACCUCGGAAUAGCAUUUGAAACUGGCAGACUAGAGUACUGUAGAGGGGGGUAGAAUUUCAGGUGUAGCGGUGAAAUGCGUAGAGAUCUGAAGGAAUACCGGUGGCGAAGGCGGCCCCCUGGACAGAUACUGACACUCAGAUGCGAAAGCGUGGGGAGCAAACAGGAUUAGAUACCCUGGUAGUCCACGCCGUAAACGAUGUCUACUUGGAGGUUGUGGCCUUGAGCCGUGGCUUUCGGAGCUAACGCGUUAAGUAGACCGCCUGG
rnacentral:rRNA from 1 species